ensembl:snoRNA small nucleolar RNA, C/D box 114-10
UGGAUCAGUGAUGACCACUGACGGCAUAUGGGCUGUAUAUGAUGAACACUGUCCAC